rnacentral:rRNA from 1 species
GAUGAACGCUGACAGAAUGCUUAACACAUGCAAGUCAACUUGAACUUCGGUUUGGGUGGCGGACGGGUGAGUCACGCGUAAAGAACUUGCCUCACAGCUAGGGACAACAUUUGGAAACGAAUGCUAAUACCUGAUAUUAUGAUUAUAUGGCAUCGUAUAAUUAUGAAAGCUAUAUGCGCUGUGAGAGAGCUUUGCGUCCCAUUAGCUAGUUGGAGAGGUAACAGCUCACCAAGGCGAUGAUGGGUAGCCGGCCUGAGAGGGUGAUCGGCCACAAGGGGACUGAGACACGGCCCUUACUCCUACGGGAGGCAGCAGUGGGGAAUAUUGGACAAUGGACCGAGAGUCUGAUCCAGCAAUUCUGUGUGCACGAUGAAGUUUUUCGGAAUGUAAAGUGCUUUCAGUUGGGAAGAAGAAAAUGACGGUACCAACAGAAGAAGUGACGGCUAAAUACGUG